AACGCUGGCGGCGUGGAUUAGGCAUGCAAGUCGAACGGUAUCAUCCUUUCGGGGGUGAGAGAGUGGCGAACUGGUGAGUAACACGUAGGUUAUCUACCCUCAAGACGGGACAACCCAGGGAAACUUGGGCUAAUACCGGAUGUGAGCAACUUUAGUUGUUUGAAAGGUGGCGUAAGCUGUCGCUUGGGGAUGAGCCUGCGUCCUAUUAGUUAGUUGGUGAGGUAACGGCUCACCUAGGCAAUGAUAGGUAGGCGGCCUUAACGGGUGGUCGCCCACACUGGGAUUGAGAUACGGCCCAGACUCCUACGGGAGGCAGCAGUCGAGAAUAGUCUACAAUGGUCGGAAGACUGAUAGUGCGACGCCGCGUGAACGAUGAAUCCCUUCGGGGUGUAAAGUUCUUUUAUAUGUGAGCAGUGCUUCUUAUAUUAACAGUAUGGGGAGAGAGAUAUUAGCAUAUGAAUAAGCAACGGCUAACUCCGUG
rnacentral:rRNA from 1 species